GACGAACGCUGGCGGCGUGCCUAAUACAUGCAAGUAGAACGCACAGUUUAUACCGUAGCUUGCUACACCAUAAACUGUGAGUUGCGAACGGGUGAGUAACGCGUAGGUAACCUGCCUGGUAGCGGGGGAUAACUAUUGGAAACGAUAGCUAAUACCGCAUAAUAUUGAUUAUUGCAUGAUAAUUGAUUGAAAGAUGCUAUUGCAUCACUACCAGAUGGACCUGCGUUGUAUUAGCUAGUAGGUGAGGUAACGGCUCACCUAGGCGACGAUACAUAGCCGACCUGAGAGGGUGACCGGCCACACUGGGACUGAGACACGGCCCAGACUCCUACGGGAGGCAGCAGUAGGGAAUCUUCGGCAAUGGACGAAAGUCUGACCGAGCAACGCCGCGUGAGUGAAGAAGGUUUUCGGAUCGUAAAGCUCUGUUGUAAGAGAAGAACGGGUGUGAGAGUGGAAAGUUCACACUGUGACGGUAUCUUACCAGAAAGGGACGGCUAACUACGUG
rnacentral:rRNA from 1 species